CAAAAUUAAUGUUUGUGGUGCUUUCCUAGUUACUUGCAGACAUGUGGAGAAUAAUGACAAAUUGAGGUCACCUGAUGUGUGUACUACCAGCUGAUGUUCAACAAGACAGGAGCCUAGCAUAAUCAUCAUCAGAGAGGCUUCAUCCAGCAAAUGAUGGGAGCAGAUGUAAAGAAAAAAUCCCACAGCCAAACAAUAGGCAGAGCACGAGGAAUGCUGCAGAAGAGGAAGAGGAAGAAUUUAUUGUAGGAGCCAGAGGGGUCAAGGACACCACGAGAAAACCCACACAAUCAACUAACCUGGACUCACAGGGGAUCACAGAAACUGAACCUACAACCAGGGAUCCUGCCUGAGUCUGACCUAGGUUACAGAGCCUAGGUCUUUAUCGUUGAAUCCACCCCAGUCACCAGAGAUGGACUUACCUGAGAACUACACGGUCUCAGGAGAAGUGGCUCUUGGAACUGAGGCACAUCCUGAAGGCUGCUCCUGGCCACAUUCUGCUGU